rnacentral:rRNA from 1 species
CCUACGGGUGGCAGCAGUGAGGAAUAUUGGUCAAUGGGCGGGAGCCUGAACCAGCCAAGCCGCGUGAGGGAAGAAGGUACAGCGUAUCAUAAACCUCUUUUGUCAGGGAACAAAGGCGGGGACUCGUCCCCGGAUGAGGGUACCUGAAGAAAAAGCAUCGGCUAACUCCGUGCCAGCAGCCGCGGUAAUACGGAGGAUGCGAGCGUUAUCCGGAUUUAUUGGGUUUAAAGGGUGCGCAGGCGGCCUGUUAAGUCAGCGGUAAAAGCCCGGGGCUCAACCCCGGCGAGCCGUUGAAACUGGCGGGAUGGAGUUGGAGAGAAGUACGCGGAAUGCGCGGUGUAGCGGUGAAAUGCUUAGAUAUCGCGCAGAACCCCGAUUGCGAAGGCAGCAUGCCGGCUCCACACUGACGCUGAGGCACGAAAGCGUGGGUAUCGAACAGGAUUAGAUACCCGGGUAGUC